rnacentral:rRNA from 1 species
GAUGAACGCUGGCGGCGUGCCUAAUACAUGCAAGUCGAGCGGAAGGACGAGACGCUUUAUUCUCGCGUGGAACGGGCGGGUGACACGGUAAUACGUGGAUACAGUCCUUAUAAUAAUGGGAUAAAUUGGGGGAUAAUACGGUAAACGACGCAGAUAUUCUGAGCGGCAGGGUGCAAAGGUGAAAGGCUGGCUUGCGGUCCCCUGUAGAUGAGUCCGCGCUGCGUUAGCUGGUUGGUAAGGUAGCGGCUUACCAGGGCAACGAUGCAUAGCCGAGCUGAGAGGGGGAUCGCCCACACUGGAACUGAGACACGGUCCUGGCUCCUACGGGAGGCAGCAGUAGGGAAUCUUCCGCAAUGGGCGAAAGCCUGACGGAGCAACGCCGCGUGAGUGAUGAAGGUCUUCGGAUCGUAAAACUCUGUUAUUAGGGAAGAACAUAUGUGUAAGUAACUGUGCACAUCUUGACGGUACCUAAUCAGAAAGCCACGGCUAACUACGU